AGCAGGUCCCAAGGGUUUGGCUGUUCGCCAAUUAAAGCGGUACGUGAGCUGGGUUUAGAACGUCGUGAGACAGUUCGGUCCCUAUCUUUCGUGGGCGUAGGAUAUUUGAGAGGAUCUUUCCCUAGUACGAGAGGACCGGGAUGGACAAACCUCUGGUGUUCCAGUUGUCGCGCCAGCGGCAUAGCUGGGUAGCUACGUUUGGAAUGGAUAACCGCUGAAAGCAUCUAAGUGGGAAGCCAACCUCAAGAUUAGAUAUCCCCUUCUCGUGGAAACACGAGAUCUGAAGACCCCUUGAAGAUAACAAGGUUGAUAGGCCAGGUGUGUAAGUAUGGCAACAUAUUUAGCUAACUGGUACUAAUAGGUCGUGAGACUUGGCCAUAAAAC
rnacentral:rRNA from 1 species